CAGGUGGUUAAAAAAAAAAAAACAACUAAGAUUAUGGCAAUUCCUAGCCUAAAAGAGCUCCGAGUAUAAAGAACACAAAUAUGAAUUAAAAUAAUCAAUGUAAUUAAAACUGUUAUAGAAACACAAUGGACAGAAACAGUCCUUCUGUAGACGGGCCUCAUGGAAAACUCCAGAAAGCAGUGGACACCAGGUGGGUGCUUCAGGAUCUAUACCAACCCAACUGGAGAGUGUCAAAGAAGGAAAAUGGAGAAGGAAAAAGGAAAGUGGAAGGGACUACUCCUGUGUUAAAGGGUGAAAGAAGAGGGAACCAAAAGGUGAUGUUUAAAAACAGUGGUUGGACACACUUAUUCAACACAGUUGUUGGAAGUGUUGGCCACAACAAUCAGACAAGAAGAAAUAAAAAGCAUCCACAAUGGAAAGGAGAAAGGAAAUCUGUCACUGUUCACAGAUGACAUGCAGCUGUACACAGAAAACCCUACACACUCCACCCAAAACUACCAGAUCUAAUACAAGAACUCUGCAAAGUAGCAUAAUCUUGACAUUAAUACCCAGCAAUUAGUGGAACUGUUAUACAUCAAUAAUGAGCUACCAGAAAGAGAAACUAAGAAACCAAUUCCAUUUGCUAUUG